rnacentral:rRNA from 1 species
UGCAGUCGAGCGGUAACAUUUCUAGCUUGCUAGAAGAUGACGAGCGGCGGACGGGUGAGUAAUGCUUGGGAAUAUGCCUUAGGGUGGGGGACAACAGUUGGAAACGACUGCUAAUACCGCAUAACGUCUACGGACCAAAGGGGGCUUCGGCUCUCGCCCUUAGAUUAGCCCAAGUGGGAUUAGCUAGUUGGUGAGGUAAUGGCUCACCAAGGCGACGAUCCCUAGCUGGUUUGAGAGGAUGAUCAGCCACACUGGAACUGAGACACGGUCCAGACUCCUACGGGAGGCAGCAGUGGGGAAUAUUGCACAAUGGGCGCAAGCCUGAUGCAGCCAUGCCGCGUGUGUGAAGAAGGCCUUAGGGUUGUAAAGCACUUUCAGUAAGGAGGAAAGGUUAGUAGUUAAUACCUGCUAGCUGUGACGUUACUUACAGAAGAAGCACCGGCUAACUCCGUGCCAGCAGCCGCGGUAAUACGGAGGGUGCGAGCGUUAAUCGGAAUUACUGGGCGUAAAGCGUACGCAGGCGGUUUGUUAAGCGAGAUGUGAAAGCCCCGGGCUCAACCUGGGAACUGCAUUUCGAACUGGCAAACUAGAGUAUGAUAGAGGGUGGUAGAAUUUCAGGUGUAGCGGUGAAAUGCGUCUAGAUCUGAAAGUAUACCGAUGGGGAAAGCG